AGGUACUCUGAGAAUAAGCACCGGCUAACUCCGUGCCAGCAGCCGCGGUAAUACGGAGGGUGCAAGCGUUAUCCGGAUUUACUGGGUUUAAAGGGUGCGUAGGCGGAUGAUUAAGUUAGAUGUGAAAGCUUGCAGCUUAACUGUAAGAUUGCGUUUGAUACUGGUCGUCUUGAAUUUGGUAGAAGUGGGCGGAAUAAAUCAUGUAGCGGUGAAAUGCAUAGAUAUGAUUUAGAACACCGAUUGCGAAGGCAGCUCGCUAUGUCAACAUUGACGCUGAGGCACGAAAGCGUGGGGAUCAAACAGGAUUAGAUACCCUGGUAGUCCACGCCCUAAACGAUGAAUACUCGAUAUUGGCGAUAUACAGUCAGUGUCUAAGGGAAACCGUUAAGUAUUCCACCU
rnacentral:rRNA from 1 species